rnacentral:rRNA from 1 species
GAUGAACGCUAGCGAUAGGCUUAACACAUGCAAGUCGAGGGGCAGCGAGAUGUAGCAAUACAUUGUCGGCGACCGGCGAAUGGGUGCGUAACACGUAUGCAACUUACCUUUUAGAGGCGAAUAACCCGAUGAAAGUCGGACUAAUACGCCAUAUGCUCCCUUAGUCACAUGAUUAAUGGAGGAAAGAUUCAUCGCUAAGAGAUAGGCCUGCGUUCCAUUAGCUAGUUGGAGAGGUAACGGCUCACCAAGGCAACGAUGGAUAGGGGGACUGAGAGGUUGACCCCCCACAUUGACACUGAGAUACGGGUCAAACUCCUACGGGAGGCAGCAGUGAGGAAUAUUGGUCAAUGGGCGAAAGCCUGAACCAGCCAAGUCGCGUGAAGGAAGACUGCCCGCAAGGGUUGUAAACUUCUUUUGUAUGGGAUUAAAGGUGUCUACGAGUAAACAGUUGCAGUUACCAUACGAAUAAGCAUCGGCUAACUCCGUGCCAGCAGCCGCGGUAAUACGGAGGAUGCGAGCGUUAUCCGGAAUUAUUGGGUUUAAAGGGUGCGUAGGUUGCAAGGGAAGUCAGGGGUGAAAAGCCAUAGCUUAACUAGGGUCUUGCCUUUGAAACUCUCUAGCUAGAGUGUAGUGGAGGUACGUGGAACGUGUGGUGUAGCGGUGAAAUGCAUAGAUAUCACACAGAACUCCGAUUGCGCAGGCAGCGUACUAUACUACAACUGACACUGAAGCACGAAAGCGUGGGUAUCAAACAGGAUUAGAUACCCUGGUAGUCCACGCAGUAAACGAUGAAUACUAGAUCUAUGCGAUAUACAGUAUGGGUCUAAGCGAAAGCGAUAAGUAUUCCACCUGGGGAGUACGCCGGCAACGGUGAAACUCAAAGAGAUUGGCGGGGGUCCGCACAAGCGGAGGAACA